CCUACGGGUGGCUGCAGUGAGGAAUAUUGGUCAAUGGCCGGGAGGCUGAACCAGCCAAGUCGCGUGAGGGAAGACGGCCCUACGGGUUGUAAACCUCUUUUGUCAGGGAGCAAGGUGCAGGUCGGGACCUGCUGUGAGAGUACCUGAAGAAAAAGCAUCGGCUAACUCCGUGCCAGCAGCCGCGGUAAUACGGAGGAUGCGAGCGUUAUCCGGAUUUAUUGGGGUUAAAGGGUGCGCAGGCGGGAGGUCAAGUCAGCGGUGAAAUUGGGGGGGUCAACCCCGCUCUGGCAGUUGAAACUGGGUGCCUUGAGUGCGGGAGGGGUAGGCGGAAUUCGUGGUGUAGCGGUGAAAUGCAUAGAUAUCACGAAGAACUCCGAUCGCGAAGGCAGCCUACCGGCGCGCAACUGACGCUGAGGCACGAAAGCGUGGGUAUCGAACAGGAUUAGAUACCCGUGUAGUC
rnacentral:rRNA from 1 species